rnacentral:rRNA from 1 species
GACGAACCGUGCGGACGUUGUUCGGAAUCACUGGGCUUAAAGGGCGCGUAGGCGGCCGGGUUGGUCGUGGGUGAAAUCCCCCAGCUUAACUGGGGAACUGCCUACGAUACUGCCUGGCUCGAGGGAGGAAGGGGCGGUCGGAACUGUCGGUGGAGCGGUGAAAUGCGUUGAUAUCGACAGGAACGCCGGUGGCGAAAGCGGACCGCUGGCCCUCUUCUGACGCUGAGGCGCGAAAGCCAGGGGAGCGAACGGG